GGGGGAAUUUUGGACAAUGGGGGCAACCCUGAUCCAGCCAUGCCGCGUGAGUGAAGAAGGCCUUCGGGUUGUAAAGCUCUUUCGGACGGGACGAAAAGGUUAUGGUGAAUAGCCAUGACUAAUGACAGUACCGUAAUAAGAAGCACCGGCUAACUACGUGCCAGCAGCCGCGGUAAUACGUAGGGUGCGAGCGUUAAUCGGAAUUACUGGGCGUAAAGCGUGCGCAGGCGGUUCGCCAAGUCAGGUGUGA
rnacentral:rRNA from 1 species